CACGUAGGGCGCGAGCGUUGUCCGGAAUUAUUGGGCGUAAAGAGCUCGUAGGCGGCCUGUUGCGUCCGCUGUGAAAGCCCGGGGCUUAACCCCGGGUCGGCAGUGGAUACGGGCAGGCUAGAGGUAGGUAGGGGAGAAUGGAAUUCCCGGUGUAGCGGUGAAAUGCGCAGAUAUCGGGAGGAACACCGGUGGCGAAGGCGGUUCUCUGGGCUUUACCUGACGCUGAGGAGCGAAAGCGUGGGGAGCGAACAGG
rnacentral:rRNA from 1 species